UACAGAGGAGCCAAGCGUUGUCCGGAUUGACUGGGCGUAAAGCGCACGCAGGCGGCUGCGCGCGUGGGGUGUGAAAUCUGGCCGCUUAACGGCCAGGCGCCAUCCCAUACGGCGCGGCUUGAGCCUUGCAGAGGGCGGUGGAAUUGCCGGUGUAGUGGUGAAAUGCGUAGAGAUCGGCAGGAACACCCAGGGGGAAACCAGCCGCCUGGGCAAGCGCUGACGCUGAGGAGCGAAAGCGUGGGGAGCGAACAGG
rnacentral:rRNA from 1 species